GAACCGUCCAAACGUUAUUCGGAAUUAUUGGGCUUAAAGGGUAUGUAGGCGGCGCUGUUAGUCGGGUGUGAAAUCCCUCGGCUCAACCGAGGAAUUGCGCCCGAAACUGUAGUGCUUGAGGGAGACAGAGGUAAGCGGAACUGAUGGUGGAGCGGUGAAAUGCGUUGAUAUCAUCAGGAACACCGGUGGCGAAAGCGGCUUACUGGGUCUCUUCUGACGCUGAGAUACGAAAGCUAGGGGAGCGAAGGGGAUUAGAUACCCCCGUAGUCCUAGCUGUAAACGAUGAGCACUUGAUCGGGGAUCCCCUCAUAGGUUCUCGGUCGUAGCGAAAGUGUCAAGUGCUCCGCCUGGGGAGUAUGGUCGCAAGGCUGAA
rnacentral:rRNA from 1 species